UGGUUUUAUGUUUGAUCAUGUUUUGUUUUCUGGACUCUUGUUCCGUUUUUUCACUUCCUGGUUUGCUUUUGUUACCAUGUCAACACAUUAGUUCCCACCUUGUCACGCCCCUGCCCUCAGUCCCGCACCUGUUCCUGAUUAUCACAGCCAGUAUUUAAGUCAUUUUCUUUCUGUUCAUCAGGCUGGGAACUUUUGUCACACCUGGACAUGGAUUUGUUUUGCUCCUUCGACGCAGAGGAAAUACGGGACGAGCCAGGCGUGAAUUCAGGGUUGCGGAGGGUGCUGGAGCCUAUCUCAGCCGAAAAAAUAUAUACAUAUAUAAGUAUACCAAGAAGUGCAUUUGCCAUAUCUUCAAAGAGAACGGCCUACGGAUCACGAUUGAAGCCAACAAGCAAACCAUCAACUUCCUCGACGUCACUUUCAACCUGAGAAAUAACAGCUACCAACCAUUCACGAAACUAGACACAACACUCCAAUACGUGCACCAUGACAGCUACCACCCACCCACCACCACGAAGAGAAUACCUCCCGGAAUUAAUAAAAGGCUAUCGAUGCUGUCAUCUAGCAAAGCUGAAUUUGACCAAGCAACCCCCACGUACCAGAAAGCACUUGAUGAAAGCGGAUACAACUUCACCCUCACCUAUGAACCCACGCCAGGAAACCAACCAAAAAAGAGCAGAAAACAAAACAACAUCAUCUGGUACAACCCUAAGAAAAAUAUUCAACAAGAACAACAUUAAAUUGAGCUACAACUGUAUGAAUAACAUACAACAAAUAAUUUCAAACCACAACAAAGCAAUUGCAAAAGGACUGCCUACACCCAGACUAAACGACUCUGAAACCAAUAAAGAAUGUAACUGUCGCAAGAAACCCGAUUGCCCUCUCAACGGGGGGUGAUUACAAACAUCAGUCGUUUACCAAGCAAAGGUAACACGCAAGGACAUUAACACAUCCGACACGUACGUGGGAUUAACCGAAGGAGCGUUCAAAACCAGAUGGAAUUAUCACAACGCCUCCUUUAGAAACCAGACUUUGCGGAAUUCUACAGAACUCAGCAAGCACAUUUGGAACCUCAAAGACAAUCAUGUAUAAUACUCAAUAACAUGGCAAAUUUUUGCAUCCAGCACACCUUACAACAGUGGUAAUUAAAGAUGCAACCUAUGCUUAAAAGAGAAACUGUUUAUUAUAUAUCAUCCAGACCUGUCAUCCCUCAACAAGCGCAGUGAAAUAAUUUCAACAUGCCGCCACAGAUGGAAACACCUCCUAGCUAACACAUGAGCCAAUCACCACACCCUACGCCUGCCUGUACCCACCCACUCUACGCCCUAUAUAAACCAUUGUAUGUGAAUGCUUCCAUUAAAAUCUCCUGAUGAUUGAGGGAACCCCUCAUGAAACAGUUCUGUAGAGA